rnacentral:rRNA from 1 species
AGUGAACGCUGGCGGUAGGCCUAACACAUGCAAGUCGAACGGCAGCACAGUAAGAGCUUGCUCUUACGGGUGGCGAGUGGCGGACGGGUGAGGAAUACAUCGGAAUCUACUUUUUCGUGGGGGAUAACGUAGGGAAACUUACGCUAAUACCGCAUCCGACCUACGGGUGAAAGCAGGGGAUCUUCGGACCUUGCGCGAUUGAAUGAGCCGAUGUCGGAUUAGCUAGUUGGCGGGGUAAAGGCCCACCAAGGCGACGAUCCGUAGCUGGUCUGAGAGGAGGAUCGGCGACACUAGAACGUAGACACGGUCCAGACGACUGCGGGACGCAGCAGUGGGGAAUAUUGGGCAAUGGGCGCAAGCCUGAUCCAGCCAUACCGCGUGGGUGAAGAAGGCCUUCGGUUUGUAAAGCCCUUUUGUUGGGAAAGAAAAGCAGCAGGUUAAUACCCCGCUGUUCUGACGGUACCCAAAGAAUAAGCACCGGCUAACUUCGUG